rnacentral:rRNA from 1 species
GACGAACGCUGGCGGCGUGCUUAACACAUGCAAGUCGAACGGAGUGGCGAACGGGUGAGUAACACGUGGGUGACCUGCCCUGCACUUCGGGAUAAGCCUGGGAAAAUGGGUCUAAUACCGGAGAGUGUGGGAUGGGUCCACGGCCUAUCAGCUUGUUGGGGGGGUAAUGGUCUACCAAGGCGGCGACGGGUCGCCGGCCUGAGAGGGGGGACGGCCACAUGGGGACUGGGGCACGGCCCAGAAUCCAACGGGAGGCAGCGGUGGGGAAUAUUGCACAAUGGGCGGACGGCUGAUGCAGCGGCGCCGGGUGGGGGAUGACGGGCUGCGGGUUGUAAACUCCUUUCACCAUCGACGCGGUAGAUGGAGAAGAAGCACCGGCUAACUACGUGCCAGCAGCCGCGGUAAUAC